AGCAAGGCGUCUGGAAACGAGCUGCGACUGUAGAUGGAACGAGACAGGGACUUCGUUGAAUGAUCUGCCCAGCGUCAUGGCCGCGGGCUGGUCACAAGGGGGCCGCCCCCUGGCCCCUCCCCUCUCGACGUGCGGCCCCCAGCCCCGGAUUCUGCCCUCCUGCCGUGAUGAAUGGCACCGCUGUCCCGCGCAGGCAGGCAAACCUCUUCCUGAAACAGAAUCUACUGAAGGCAACAGCAGCAACAGAUUCUACAGAAAGCCCCUGAAAUGGAGGCUCAGGCCUCACCUAGCUCCAGGCCCGCACUCUACAGAAAAAAAGAUUCACCCAGGCGGGGGUGGGGGUUUCCAGAGAUGGCAGCUCUCUGGCAGGAAUCCCUCAGGAUCCUGUCAGACUCUGGUCUCUGGGAGUUAAGGGGAGAUCUAUGUAUCUAUCUAUCAAUCAAUCAAUCAAUCAAUCAUCUAUCUAUUGUCCCAGAAUAUGCAGGGGAGGAAGCAUAAGCAAGGGCUGAGGCUCAGAGAGACCUGAGCCCAGGCACGUGCUGGCUGUGUGACCUGGGAUAAAACACUUAACUUCUCUGAGCGUUAGUUGUGUCAAUUUUUUUUUUUAAUGAAAUAAUCCUAACCCAAUGUAAACACGAAAUCAUAGUAUACAUCAAGUAAAAGAUCUUUAUGGCAAGCUUUA